UCUACAGUCCUGGUCAUCAUCAGACAUAAAUUACAGUAUCAUCAAGUCUGGUGGUUCCUGUUGUGCAGGUACCCGUUCUCAGUGGACCAGAGCAUCCCUGAGAUGGACUGGGAGGUUUACCUGAAAGAGACGGCCAACGCCAUCAUCAGCCAGCAGAGUCCUCAGAGGUGUGCAGCGUUCUGUCGGCGGUGUGCAGGAAGGAGCCAAGUCCUUAGAGGGCCUGGUGAGGGAGCUGCUGAGUAACUGUGACGGCCAGCUGAAGACUGAGGUGGCCCACAUGGCGGCCUACUAUGAACACAGACUGCAGCUGGGCAGCAAGGCCAUCUACCACCUGGAGGCCUUCACCGCCAAGUUCAUGUCCCUCUACAAGAAGUUCAUGGAGGACGGCCUGGACGCCAUGAUGUUCUGACCACAGACCCAUUCAUGUACUUAGUCAUAAUCUGACUGGAGAGACAGACUGGAGCACAUUCAUGUCAUAUCAACACACACACACACCUUGACAUCUUGUUGGUGACUGGGAAAGGUCAUCUCAUGUCAACCACCCAUAUAUUUCAAUGAAAUACUUGACUGCAUUUCCA